ACGGGAGGCAGCAGUGAGGAAUAUUGGUCAAUGGGCGAGAGCUUGAACCAGCCAAGUCGCGUGCGGGACGAAGGCCCUACGGGUCGUAAACCGCUUUUAUACGGGAAUAAAGUGCGCCUCGUGAGGCGUUUUGCAGGUACCGUAGGAAUAAGGAUCGGCUAACUCCGUGCCAGCAGCCGCGGUAAUACGUAGGGAGCAAGCGUUAUCCGGAAUUACUGGGUGUAAAGGGAGUGUAGGCGGGACUGUAAGUCAGAUGUGAAAUAUGCCGGCUCAACUGGCAGACUGCAUUUGAAACUGCGGUUCUUGAGUGAAGUAGAGGUAAGCGGAAUUCCUAGUGUAGCGGUGAAAUGCGUAGAUAUUAGGAGGAACAUCAGUGGCGAAGGCGGCUUACUGGGCUUUAACUGACGCUGAGGCUCGAAAGCGUGGGGAGCAAACAGGAUUAGAUACCCUGGUA
rnacentral:rRNA from 1 species